CGCCUCGUAGCUCAGUUGGAUAGAGCGCUGAAUGUACUAAAACCUUCCUCUUGCUGACGUGGGUUCGAAUUCCACCGAGGCCA
rnacentral:tRNA from 1 species